rnacentral:rRNA from 1 species
AGGGUUUGAUCCUGGCUCAGGAUGAACGCUGACAGAAUGCUUAACACAUGCAAGUCAAUGGGGAAACGGUGCUUGCACCGCGAUAACCAUGGCGGACGGGUGAGUAACGCGUAAAGAACUUGCCUCUUAGUCUGGGAUAACAGAUGGAAACGACUGAUAAGACUAGAUACUAUUAAAGCUUCGCAUGAAACUUUAAUGAAAAGAGAUGCUAAGAGAGAGCUUUGCGUCCUAUUAGUUAGUUGGUGAGGUAACGGCUCACCAAGACGAAGAUAGGUAGCCGGUCUGAGAGGAUGAACGGCCACAAGGGGACUGAGAUACGGCCCUU